rnacentral:rRNA from 1 species
CCUUACCAACCCUUGACAUCCUGUGCUACUACCAGAGAUGGUACGUUCCCUUCGGGGACGCAGUNACAGGUGCUGCAUGGCUGUCGUCAGCUCGUGUCGUGAGAUGUUCGGUUAAGUCCGGCAACGAGCGCAUCCCACAUCCUUAGUUGCCAGCAGGUUAAGCUGGGCACUCUAGGGAANCUGCCCGUGAUAAGCGGGAGGAAGGUGUGGAUGACGUCAAGUCCUCAUGGCCCUUACGGGUUGGRCUACACACGUGCUACAAUGGCAGUGAACAAUGGGUUAAUCCCAAAAAACUGUCUCAGUUCGGAUUGGGGUCUGCAACUCGACCCCAUGAAGUCGGAAUCGCUAGUAAUCGCGUAMCAGCAUGACRCGGUGAAUACGUUCCCGGGCCUUGUACACACCGCCCGUCMCMCCAUGGGAGUUGGUUCURCCCGACGGCCGUGCGCUAACCUUUCGAGRAGGCAGCGGACCACGGUAGGAUCAGGACUGGGGUGAAGUCGUWACAAGGUAUCCGUAGGGGAAC